rnacentral:tRNA from 1 species
ACCUUCGUGGCGUAGUGGUCAGCAUGCUGGGUGCGUAUUCCAGAGGUCCGUGGUUCAAAUCUCGGCGAGGGCA